AUACGGAGGAUCCGAGCGUUAUCCGGAUUUAUUGGGUUUAAAGGGUGCGUAGGCGGAUUGGAAAGUCAGCGGUGAAAGUUUGCAGCUUAACUGUAAAAUUGCCAUUGAAACUGUCAGUCUUGAGUGCAAAUGAGGUAGGCGGAAUGUGUUGUGUAGCGGUGAAAUGCAUAGAUAUAACACAGAACACCAAUUGCGAAGGCAGCUUACUGGGAUGCAACUGACGCUGAGGCACGAAAGCGUGGGGAUCAAACAGGAUUAGAUACCCUGGUAGUCCACGCAGUAAACGAUGAAUACUAGCUGUAUGCGAUAUACUGUAUGCGGCACAGCGAAAGCGUUAAGUAUUCCACCUGGGGAGUACGUUCGCAAGAAUGAA
rnacentral:rRNA from 1 species